rnacentral:ncRNA from 1 species
AUAGGCAAAGGGGGCUUUGGUUCCACUGCGUUUCGGCGCCGUGGUGAAAAGGGAACGCGGUGCGGGCUUUGGCCUUAUUCCGUGACUGCCCCCGCAACUGUAAGCGGCGAGCGACGGCUGAACGCGCCACUGGACAGCAACGUCUGGGAAGGCAGGCCCGAGUGAAGACCCGCGAAGUCAGGAGACCUGCCAAGGCUGUCACCCAGGU